rnacentral:rRNA from 1 species
CGGACGGGUGAGUAAUGCCUAGGAAAUUGCCUUGAUGUGGGGGAUAACCAUUGGAAACGAUGGCUAAUACCGCAUAAUGCCUACGGGCCAAAGAGGGGGACCUUCGGGCCUCUCGCGUCAAGAUAUGCCUAGGUGGGAUUAGCUAGUUGGUGAGGUAAUGGCUCACCAAGGCGACGAUCCCUAGCUGGUCUGAGAGGAUGAUCAGCCACACUGGAACUGAGACACGGUCCAGACUCCUACGGGAGGCAGCAGUGGGGAAUAUUGCACAAUGGGCGAAAGCCUGAUGCAGCCAUGCCGCGUGUAUGAAGAAGGCCUUCGGGUUGUAAAGUACUUUCAGUUGUGAGGAAGGGGGUANNGUUAAUAGCGCUAUCUCUUGACGUUAGCAACAGAAGAAGCACCGGCUAACUCCGUGCCAGCAGCCGCGGUAAUACGGAGGGUGCGAGCGUUAAUCGGAAUUACUGGGCGUAAAGCGCAUGCAGGUGGUUCAUUAAGUCAGAUGUGAAAGCCCGGGGCUCANCCUCGNAACUGCNUUUUGAAACUGGUGAACUAGAGUANUGUAGAGGGGGGUAGA